GGCUCCAAAGAGAGUGAUUGCUUUAGCAAUCUUAAUUUGCCGAGCGCUAAGUGCAAGGCACCAUUCUGAGGGUUUCCAGAUAUUCAUUCUUUUAAUCAUCACAACAACUCUAGGAGGCUGCCAAGAGACCACCCUGCAGGGACAGACACCAGCAAAAGAAGAAUUAUGGCUUUGCAGCUCCCUCUUCCCUCAGAUUGAGCACCUCCUGGACAAGUCUCUACAAAGCCUCAAGCGGAAGAUUUGUCAAGGCAAGGACACAGGUGGCCAGGUGGGCAGACAUACAUAGAGACACGAGGAGCUGGAGGGUGGGGUGUGGGCAGGGGGGUGCCCAGGGAGUGGACGUGGAGAAGGGAUACCAUCAGAUUCCUGUUUCCACCUCUCGCCUGGACGCUGCCUCUGGGGCGCUGCACAGGUCCCAGAGCAAUCUUUCUGCAACAGAAAGCCAGCACUACCACAGCCCUGACUACAUCUUUCAGCAGUUUUCACUGUGCUCGGAAUAAAAUCCAAACUCCAUGCCUUCAAAGCCUGUGACUGGCCUCUGACUGAGACAGGCUGGGACCUGGGACCUGGGACACUUGCUGCAGUGGCUGCAAUGCUUGGACCUGGAUGAACAUCUCCUUGAGCAACAAAAUACAAAAAAAAAAAAAAAAAAACUAUAAGGAAGUAAAAGUAACUGCAGACAUGUGCGGCGGGGCCAGUUAUGAGCAAGAAGAUACAAAAAACCCCUCAAAACACCAACUGCCACCUCCGAAGAGCCAAGAGCAAAAGCGGGUACCAUGCCUGCCCCCUGCACACGACACCACCAAAGGCCUGGGCCGACCACCAAAGCCACCUCUCUGACCCAACCCUUGGACUUCACCCCAUAUAAGGAACACCCCCCACUCCCCCCACUCCCCGCAUCGAGCAAGGGAACCUAUUGUUUGUUUUUGCUCCCCCUGCUGUAUCAGGGGCCCCCAGUAAAGGCUUGCCUGGCCUCUUAUCAAUUUUUAUUGAUUAAGGAAGGUCAAGAACCCAGGCCGGUAACAUGAGCACCUCUUGCUUUCAUUUCAACCACCACCUUCUUCCCCGGGGCCUGCUGCACUCCAGCGACCCUGGCCUUUUUCUGUUCCCACUUAGGGCCUUGUGUUGCACUCCCCAUCCCCGGAGCUCUCAGCACCACCCCCGGUGACUCACCCAGUGGAUGGCUGCUUCCCCUCAAAGUCAAUGUUACCAGCACAGAAGCCUUCCACCAUGACCACUCAAGGGUUUGCUCCUGCAACCCAGGCUCACUUUCACAUCAUCCUGAAAUGUUUUCGAUCCUGAAAUUUUAAAACGUAUGGUCUGUCUCCCUCACCUAGGAUGAAAGCUAGGAUUGAGGCUCGGCUUUCUUUUUUUCUUUUUUUUUUUCUUUUUUU